UGUAUUUUUAAAUGGUUUUUGCUGGAUUUCGUAAACUGGAAUAGACGGUUAUAACAAUUAAUAUAGUAGUAAUCAGGCGCUUUCCGAGAUGUCUCUUCGCCUUCCUCGUGUCGCCUACCAGCUCGUGGAGUUCCAGCUUGGCUACCUUUACGAGCCCAAAGACGCCUCCGGAACUACGUUUUCCACAAUGCAUCGCGAGCCCUGUAUAUUUUUAGGGCUGAUCCUAUACCGCGAGAGGUCGCGCCGUUUUCACGAAAGGAAACGAGUGAGAAGCGAGUGGUCGGCUUGUUCGUUCACACCUGCUUAAAAGAAGUAUCCGAAAGUAUCCCAUUUCAUUUGUGUUUGUAAACUUGUUCUGACUAGUUUACAUGAAACGUCGGUGCUAUGUAGAUACGGAAAAAAAUAUUCGGCCCACGGAGGCCACCCCCGAUCACGUGGCCCUCAAAAAGGACCGUUGUGGCUCCCGCUCGUCGCGAGACUUGGCGUGUUGUUUCGCCUCGUGGCGAAGAGACCCGGGCGCGGGUGCGCGCGCGAUUCGUUUAGAACCGGCUGCGAUUGAGGGCACUCAAAGCACGAUCGGACAGGCCUCGACUUGCCAGUAUUUGGUGAUACCAGGUGUUAUAGCAUGAUGAAAAUGUUUCUUGACUGGGAAAAAAUUAACACGUUUUCGAAAAUGCAUGAUGCUAAAUUGGCAUUUUAUCUAUAGUGCUUUUCUAAAAGGUAUUACUGUUCUUAAUAUUGUAAAAUUACUGUUUUAAGUAUAGACUCACCAACUGGCCAAUUACAGUAUUAUCCAGUUGUAUAUGCUUUUUUGAAGAUGAAUCCACAUCAAUAAAUGACCAGAAACUUGUUUGAACUGGAAAAAUAACUCUUUGAUCAAUAGUUUCUCCAUAUUUCUUUCCUGGAAUGAAUUUAGUAAUUGUUCUGCUCUCUAGUACUAAUCAAAACAGCAAGAAGAAAAAUGUUGCCUGAAAUAUGGUGGUUUAUAUAACUUACUUUACCCUAUGUGUUGAAUCAUUGCUUUUAAAGAUACUUAGAUAUGAAUUUCAUAUUUCCCAAUUUUAGAAAUGUUCUUUCUAUAAUGCUCCUCUCUCAAAAGUAUCACCCACAAGGGUUACAUGGAUUGGAUCCAGACUUGAUGAAUAGAAAAAUUCAUUCUAUUUACUAAACGAACCAGCAUUGAAUGGAGGGCUUCUGUUAAAGAAAUUGGGUAUUUCCCAUUCUGUUUCUGAUAAUUCAACAGAUAUUUAUGGAAUUAUUUUGGUAGCGAAAAUAGCAAUCUCUACAAAUGAAAAUCAUCAUAGCCCAGGUGUGCUGGAACUGCCAGAAUCUAGAGAAAACAAGAUUAGUUUAGGCUCCAUUUUGAACUAUUAUAUGUGUAAUUUUAUAUGUAUGUACAGGGUGACCCAAAAAGAUGCGUACCCAUAUUUUAUUCGAUAAAAAACCCAUUUUUCUUUAACGGAAUGUUUUUUCUGUUCAGAAGUGAAAGGUGAACCUAUGGAUGAUCAUUUGCAGCUAUAGUUGCCCUAAAAAUGUCUUGGACAAAUCAGCAGAAAAUAUUCUCCCUGGAGUCUAUUUUACGACAAAAUCAUACCAGAGUGUACAGAUUCAGUUUUCAAAGCGUUUCCAUUGUCCGCAACAUC
rnacentral:lncRNA from 1 species